rnacentral:rRNA from 1 species
AAUUAUAAGAGUUUGAUCCUGGCUCAGGAUAAACACUAGCGAUUAGCAUAACACAUGCAAGUCGAGGGGUAAUAUAAUAGUAAAAAAGGUUAAGUUUUUUAUAUUAUAACGACCGGCGUACGGGUGAGUAAAAAAUAUGUAAUUUACCUAUUGUUAGAGUAUAUAUUUAUGAAAAUAAAAGUAAUACUUUAUAGAGUAAUAAAUCAUAAGAUUUAUUAUAAAAGUUUUUAUUAAUAUAGAUAAUGUAGUUAUUAAUGUGGUUAAUUAAUAUGAACGACAGUAGAUAAGCAUAUUUCUGAUUAGUUAGUUGGUGUGGUAAUAGCAUACCAAGACGAUGAUCAGUAGGGGGCCUUAGAGGGUGUACCCCCACAUUGGUACUGAAAUAUGGACCAAACUUCUACGGAAGGCAGCAGUGAGGAAUAUUGGUCAAUGGAGGAAACUCUGAACCAGCUAUUUCGCGUGUAGGAAGACGGUCUUAGGAUUGUAAACUACUUUUGUAUAAAAAUAAAAAAUUUUAUAAGAAUAAUAUAAAAUAUAUUGAAUAUUAUACGAAUAAGUAUCGGCUAACUCUGUGCCAGCAGCCGCGGUAAUACAGAGGAUACAAGUGUUAUCCGGAAUUAUUGGGUUUAAAGGGUGCGUAGACGGAAUAUUAAGUUAAUAAUGAAAUCUUAUAACUUAAAUAUAAAAUUGUUAUUAAUACUAAUAAUCUAGAGAUAUAAUGGAGUAAUUGGAAUAUGUAGUGUAGCGGUAAAAUGCAUAGAUAUUACAUAGAACACCAAAAGCGAAGGCAGAUUACUAAUUAUAUACUGACGUUGAGGCACGAAAGCGUGGGUAGCAAACAGGAUUAGAUACCCUGGUAGUCCACGCUGUAAACGAUGAUCACUAAUUAUUGGAUAAUUUAUUUUUUCAGUAAUCAAGCGAAAGUGAUAAGUGAUCCACCUGGGGAGUACGAUCGCAAGAUUGAAACUCAAAGGAAUUGACGGGGACCCGCACAAGCGGUGGAGCAUGUGGUUUAAUUCGAUAGUACGCGAGAAAUCUUACCAAGGUUUAAAUGUAUAACGAAUAAUUUAGAAAUAGAUUAGGCUUAUUUAAGUUAUAAUAAAAUAACGAGAAUAAGACGGUAUACAAGAUGCUGCAUGGUUGUCGUCAGCUCGUGCUGUGAAGUGUUAGGUUAAGUCCUUUAACGAGCGCAACCCUUAUUAUUAUUUGCUAACAGGUAAAGCUGAGAUAUAUGAUAAUACAGCUAAUGUAAAUUAGAGGAAGGUGAGGAUGACGUCAAAUCAUCAUGGCUCUCAUAUCUUGGGCUACACACGUGCUACAAUGGUUAAUACAGAGAGUUGCGAGUAGGUAACUAUAAGCUAAUCUUUAAAAUUAAUCUCAGUUCGGAUUGAAGUCUGUAACUCGACUUUAUGAAGUUGGAAUCGCUAGUAAUCGCGUAUCAGCAUUGACGCGGUGAAUAGGUACUCGGGUCUUGUACACACCGCCCGUCAAGCCAUGGAAAUUAAUUUUAUUUGAAGUAUAUACUUAAAUAAUAUAUAUUAAAGUAAAAUUAGUAACUAGGGCUAAGUCGUAACAAGGUAGCCGUAUCGGAAGAUGUGGCUGGAAAAUUACAUUU